rnacentral:lncRNA from 1 species
AUUGACUUGCCUAUGCGGGCUCUCUUUUGGUUCCAUAUGAAGUUCAUGGUGGUUUUUUCCAGUUCUGUGAAGAAAGUCAAUGGUAGCUUGAUGGGGAUAGCGUUGAUUCUGUAAAUUACUUUGGGCAGUAUAGCCAUUUUCACGAUAUUAAUUCUUCCUAACCAUGAACAUGGAAUGUUUCUCCAUCUGUUUGUGUCCUCUCUGAUUUCGUUGAGCAGUGGUUUGUAGUUCUCCUUGAAGAGGUCCCUUACGUUCCUUGUGAGUUGUAUUCCAAGGUAUUUUAUUCUUUUUGUAGCAAUUGCGAAUGGCAGUUCGCUCUUGAUUUGGCUUUCUUUAAGUCUGUUAUUGGAGUAGACGAAUGCUUGUGAUUUUUGCACAUUGAUUUUAUAUCCUGAGACUUUGCUGAAGUUGUUUAUCAGUUUCAGGAGUUUUUGGGCUGAGGCGAUGGGGUCUUCUAGGUAUACUAUCAUGUCGUCUGCAAAUAGAGACAAUUUGGCUUCCACCUUUCCUAUUUGAAUACCCUUUAUUUCUUUUUCUUGCCUGAUUGCUCUGGCUAGAACUUCCAGUACUAUAUUGAAUAGGAGUGGUGAGAGAGGGCAUCCUUGUCUAGUACCAGAUUUCAAAGGGAAUGCUUCCAGUUUUUGCCCAUUCAGUAUGAUAUUGGCUGUUGUUUUGUCAAGAUCAGAUCCUUUUAGAUGUGUGGUGUUACUUCUAAGGACUCUAUUCUGUUCCAUUGGUCUAUAGUUCGAAGCCAGGCCAUGUGAUUACUCCAGAUUUUUUUUGCUUGUUUGUCUUUUGUGCUCAGGAUUGUUUUGGCUAUGUGGGCUUUUUUUUGGUUUCAUAUGAAAUUUAAGAUUUUUUUUCCAAUUCUGUGAAGAAAAUCCAUGGUAGCUUGAUGAAGAUAGCACUGAAUCUAUAAAUUACUUUGGGCAGUAUGGCCAUUUUUACAAUAUUGAUUCUUCCUAACCAUGAGCAUGGAAUGUUUUUCCAUUUGUUUGUGUCCUCUCUUAUUUCCUUGAGCAGUGGUUUGUAGUUCUUGUUGAAGAGGACUUUCACGUCCCUUGUUAGUUGUAUUACUAGGUAUUUAAUUCUCUUUGUAGCAAUUGUAAAUGUGAGUUCACUCAUGAUUUGACCCCCUUUAAGUCUAUUACUGAUGUUUAGGAAUGCUUGUGGUUUUUGCACAUUGAU